rnacentral:hammerhead_ribozyme from 1 species
AUCCAGCUAACGAGUCCCAAACUAGACGAAACGCGCGUCAAAACUGGAU